GUGAAUCAUCGAAUCUUUGAACGCACCUUGCGCCCUCUGGUAUUCCGGAGGGCAUGCCUGUUUGAGUGUCAUGUAGACUCAAUCGCUCGGGUUUCCGAGGAGAUUGGACUUGGGUGUUGCCGCUCUGCCGGCUCGCCUUAAAAGACUUAGCGGGAUAGCACCGUAGUCGGCGUAAUAAGUUUCGUCGGUGAAGGUUGUGAUGACUGCUUACAAUCGCCCUCGGGCAAUUUUUGACUCUGACCUCAAAUCAGGUAGGACUACCCGCUGAACUUAAGCAUAUCAAUAAGCGGAGGA
rnacentral:misc_RNA from 1 species